UAUCACAAACCCGUAACUCUUGUUUCACGAAUACUCAAGGAAUUGAGCAGAGCAUUGACGUCCGAGAAACAACUAAAAGCGGAGAGAGCUGAGGUGGCAGCGAGGCUAGCAGCUGAAGACUUGCAUGACAUUAACAAACACCAUCGCGAUAACGUCACGAUGUAUAAGGUAACGGAGAGAACAGUUGAACAUCCACGAGAGCAGGAGAGGCCAGGAGUGAUAGGAUCGGUCUUCAGGGCUGUUAAAGAAAAUUACGAGCACGCUAGGGAUGCCGUUGUCGGAAAAAGCCACGACGUGGCCGAGUCGACCAGAGAAGGAGCUCAAAUAGCCUCAGAGAAAGCGGCUGGAGCUAAAGAUGCAACCCUUGAGAAGGCAAAAGACACGGCGGAUUAUACAGCCGAGAAGGCAAGAGAGGCUAAAGAUAAGACGGCCGAGAAGAUUGGUGAGUAUAAAGACUAUACAGUGGAUAAGGCAGUAGAGGCUAAGGAGAAGGCGGCGGAGAAGGCAAAGGAGACUGCCAACUAUACAGCCGACAAGGCCAAAGAGGCGAAGGACAAGACUGCUGAGAAGGUGGGCGAAUAUAAGGAUUACACGGUGGAGAAGGCUAUUGAAGCAAAGGAUAAGACAGCAGAGAAGGCCGGAGAGUAUAAGGACUACACGGUGGAGAAGGCCGCUGAAGGGAAAGAUGCUGGAGUGAGUAAGCUUGGAGAGUUAAGGAUAGUGCCAAGGAAAAAAUGGAGGAAGCUGGAGAAGAAGCGAGACGAAAGAUGGAGGAGAUGAGAUUGGAAGGUAAAGAACUCAAAGACGAAGCUAGAGACAAAGCACGAGAGGGGUCUCAAAAGACCAAGGAGAGUGCUGAGCUAGCAGCUGAAAGAGCUCACGAGACAAAAGAUUCAGCUGUGGUUAGGGGAAAUGAAGCGAAGGGGACUAUAUUUGGUACAUUAGAGAAUGUGACAGAGGCUAUAAAGAACAAACUGACUAUGCCGUCAGACAUUGUAGAGGAAACACGUGUGGCACGUGAACGUGGAAGCACGGCGAGGACCGUGGUUGAAGUCACAGUCGAAGAUACAAAACCUAGUAAGGUGGCGACUACCCUGAAGGCGUCUGAUCGGAUGACCGAUCCGACAUUCAACGAAAUCGAAGUUGAAGAUACAAAACCUGGUAAGGUGGCGGCUACCCUGAAGGCGUCGGAUCAGAUGACCGGUCAAACAUUCAACGACGUUGGACGGAUGGAUUAUUAGUUUCGGAAAGAGACAGCUUUUGGGCCUGUGUCGGGCCUUUAAAAAUAUACUUUUUGGGCCUUUGUUUUGGAUGGAUAUGAUGUAGCAAAUAUAGUGCGCUGAUAUUUUCUCGACUAAGUUUUUAAUUUCCCUGCUUGGUUACGGAAGUGAAUCUUCGUUGUGAUCGUUAUAGGGGUUUCUUAAGAGAGGUUUUAGUCUUAAAGAAAGAUUUAAUUAAAUCAAAACAAAAAUAAAAUUCGGUUACCGAUCCUUAAGGAAGUAUUUUGGAGACUGAUUAUUAAGAGGGCUUUUACCCCACGUGUCAGCUUUCCAUUGUAAAUAUAUUUUUUUCUCUCUUUUUCUUUUCUUUUGUUUCUCUCGUCUUCUUCUACUAUGAUGAGAAGCAACCGCUGCGAUUUGUGCUUUCUGGACGCAUGUCCGCUCCGACCAAGGUCUCUGAUUAUAUCCGAUAACAGUAAAACCCUUGACGCAGUUUCUUCUCUUCGCUUUGAAGAACAGAGAACGUCGUUCAUCGCAUCGUACAUGGAUUCGAUCAAAUAUGAACUGGGUUCAACGAAAAAUCUACCUUUACAAUGUCACGUUCGGGCUCUACAUGCUUGAUUGGUGGGAGCGAUACCUCUUCAAUGGUUUGGUGGUAGUCUUGAUGUGGUUCGUAGCAUACAACGGUACACGCUAGUUUUCUGAACUCUUCAAGAGGAAUGAAAGAUAAGAUGCCUGGUAAAGGACCUCCCCUUCUUAGCGCAGAAGAAGAUGGUUGCAUAGCAGGAGAUGGAGGGCCCAUCGAUAACGAGGCCAUUGAUUGUGAUGUCUUUUGCUUCUUACGUGAUCCUGAAACGGCUGGACUCGGAGCAUUAUCAUGAACCAUCUGAGGAACAUUGUUACCCUUUCUCCAUUCCUUGACAUGAUUUUAAAUUAACAUCAUUAGCUCCAAUUAGUUGAAGAAAAAAUAUCAAAAACAGACCUUAUUCGCCUGAUCAUUUCAUCGGCAUUAACCCUUGAUAAGAGCUCCAUGUGUUCCUCAUCAGACCCCCGAAGUUCUUUUCUGAGUUCAGUGAUCAAACUUUCUUUCUCCUGAAUAUUUUUUUUAUCUCUUAGAUGGUUAAGUGAGAGGACGUCAUAAACGUCGAAUUAGAGCCCAUGAAAGCGUGAGAAUGAGAUUCUUGAUUGGUAAGAAUAGAAGAACCCUGCAGACAUUUGUAAACAUUGUGUUAUUAAUGUUCAUACCAUAAGCUAAACCAUGCUAACACUCCAUCCUCUAACCAAUCUAGACAAAAUGAUGGUAAGAUUUCAUUCUCUAUAUAAAGCUUCUCCAUUUCAUCAACCAUCCCAAUCUCGUUGUUUGUGAUCAAAGAAACAUAAGCACAUAAGCAAAAAAUCUAAUCCCACAUGAACUAACCAACCAACCAUAACAAACAUUGCUUCAUACAUAUGCUGAAACAACCAAAACAAGUUAUGUUCCAAGGCCAACAAUUACACAAGUAUACAGAGAGAUGCCACAACACUUACCCAAAGGUACCCAUUACUCUAGUAGUUAUAAAGCUUUUAUCAGCGCCAAGCAGCUUCGCAAAGGAGAAAGUCAGAGAUCUUAGAAUUGAAUUUGUCAUCAAUCAGAAUGUUGCUAGACUUUAUGUCUCUAUGCACCACUUUUGGCUCAAGCUCGUGUAGGUAAGCAAGCCUGCAUCACACCACACCACCCAAUCACCUCAGAUGAAGAGAAGAUAAAACAAAAUAAAUAAAUAAAGCUGUCACAAGGACUUAUGUUUUGGCUGUUCCUAUAAGAAUCAAGUGAUUAAACGAGCCUGAUCUGCUGCUAUCACCAUUCUUACUACUACUACUGCUGCUACCCCUUUCUCAGGGUCUUUAUCACCAAACUUCUCACUAAUAGAGGGAUAUCCAUUGGCCUCUCCGUUGGUUGAUGAAACCUCGUCAACUCUAAUCUCUUUGAUCUCUUCCUAAACCUUUGCUUUAUCCACCUGAAAAGGACAAAGAACCAAAGAGUUUAGAACUCAAGAACACUCAACAAUCUUUUGUAAACAAAGAAGAGGCAAUCAGAGUAACCAAAGCCGAGAGAAACUCAAAAGCUUAUACCAAAAGAUGGAGCCAUAUCCGAUUAUAAAGUUCAAAUUGGAAAGGAACAAGUAAAAAAGACAAGAACUUGAACAGAGACUAAAGGAGAAAUCAGAUUCAUACAAACAAGCAUUGUGUCUAAAUCCCAGAGUUUCAGUUCUCAGACCACUCGCCAGGUAAACUUUAAGCUGGAAAGAAAACUAACCAUAUAUCUAACACCAAUUCAGAUCGGAAUCAGGUUCGGGAUGGCCUUGUGGAUUCAUCAUGGAAGAGAGACAGAGAGGAAGAGAUAGAGAAGAAGAGAUGUAGAGGAAGAGAAGAGACAAGACUUCCAAUUUUUUUUUCAUACCGACACGUGUUCUAAGACACGGCUCUUCACGCCCUAAUUAAGAGACGUCUCCUGUGAUAAUUAUAUUUUUUCUUUCUUUUUUAAAUUACAAUUAAAUUAAUCCUGCUCUCAAGAGGAUUAGCUGUCAUGUUGAACAACUCGAGUCGACAAUUACGACAUAGUCUUUCUAUUUUUAGCUUAACCAAACAAAUGGUUGCCUUAAAGUUUGGGUUAUAGACUUCUUGAUACCGUAACCGGACAUAAGAUCACAACACGCCACUAAGUAACAUACUGUAUCGUCUAUACUAGAUUUAACAAUAAUAAAGGCUCGUUUUGGUACAAGAUGGAAAGAAUGUUUCACGUGUAUGUUAGUUAUAAUCCACAAAUUAAAGUAGUAUAAUAACAACUUUAGAACUAUGUCGCCAAAAAUAGUCGGUGCAUUUGAAUUUAUUGACGUCCAAAACUACUUAUUAACAGAUUUGUGGGAUUUGAGGUAUUGACGACGAGAUGAGAUCUUUGUUUGGAUCCGAAGAUUUAUAACCACUUGAUUCAUUUUGAUUGGUGUUACAUAAAAAGACAUAUGUGGAGCCAAUGAAGGUACGGUUGUCUUGUUGCUGAAGGUGGGCACGGCCACAUGGUUUCGAUUAGCCCUUGAUCUCGUUGAUCAAUCACCAGUCACUGACGUCUGUUUUGUUUCUUUUCUAUCUGCUUAUGGAGCAUGCAUAUAUAUCAAGCCGGUAACAUUCAUUUCACUGGUUUAUUUGUUUUUAUUAAUUCCAGUUGUCAAAAAAAAAUCCAGUUGUUUACUAGAUUUAUAGUUUUAUUCUGUACAUACUACAUACAAUGGAUGGAAACGUUAGAGAAAAAUAAUUCAAUAGAUCACUAUCAAAUUCUCGGUUGUAAAUGCAUUGAACAUUUUUAUUUAUCCCAUGAAAGAGAAUUGUUUGUAUGGUUCA